UAGUACUGGAAUAACACACUGUGUUUUC
rnacentral:sRNA from 1 species